GGUUAUAUUGUUUAUCAAGAUUCGGAUAUCACUAUAGCCAGACAUCCCGUUACCAACGCAAGUUGGUCAGGCCAAGCCCGGUAAAGACGCUUCUGAAUACCAGAGAAGUUCUCUGGCGAAACCCACCUUAAGGUGGGUUUU
rnacentral:sRNA from 1 species